AACAAACGCUGGCGGCGUGCCUAAUACAUGCAAGUCGAACGAGGAAAGUAGCAAUAUGAGUACUAGUGGCGCACGGGUGAGAAACGCGUGGGUAAUCUGCCUUAGAGUGGGGGAUAACCAAUCGAAAGAUUGGCUAAUACCGCAUAAGACCACAGGAGCUGAGGCUCUAGGGGUAAAAGGUUUUUCGCUCUAAGAUGAGCCCGCGUAGGAUUAGCUAGUUGGUAGGGUAACGGCCUACCAAGGCAACGAUCCUUAGCUGGUCUGAGAGGAUGAUCAGCCACACUGGAACUGAGACACGGUCCAGACUCCUACGGGAGGCAGCAGUAGGGAAUAUUGCGCAAUGGGGGAAACCCUGACGCAGCGACGCCGCGUGAGUGAUGAAGGACUUCGGUUCGUAAAGCUCUGUUGCAAGGGAAAAAGUUCUGAUUGUACCUUGUGAGGAAGGGUCGGCUAACUUCGUGCCAGCCGCCGCGGUAA
rnacentral:rRNA from 1 species